rnacentral:rRNA from 1 species
ACGGGUGCGUAACGCGUGGGAAUCUGCCCUUAGGUUCGGAAUAACAGCUGGAAACGGCUGCUAAUACCGGAUGAUGACGAAAGUCCAAAGAUUUAUUGCCUGAGGAUGAGCCCGCGUUGGAUUAGGUAGUUGGUGGGGUAAAGGCCUACCAAGCCGACGAUCCAUAGCUGGUCUGAGAGGGUGAUCAGCCACACUGGGACUGAGACACGGCCCAGACUCCUACGGGAGGCAGCAGUGGGGAAUAUUGGACAAUGGGCGAAAGCCUGAUCCAGCAAUGCCGCGUGAGUGAUGAAGGCCCUAGGGUUGUAAAGCUCUUUUACCCGGGAAGACAAUGACUGUACCGGGAGAAUAAGCCCCGGCUAACUCCGUGCCAGCAGCCGCGGUAAUACGGAGGGGGCUAGCGUUGUUCGGAAUUACUGGGCGUAAAGCGCACGUAGGCGGCUUUGUAAGUCAGAGGUGAAAGCCUGGAGCUCAACUCCAGAACUGCCUUUGAGACUGCAUCGCUUGAAUCCAGGAGAGGUCAGUGGAAUUCCGAGUGUAGAGGUG